rnacentral:rRNA from 1 species
GACGAACGCUGGCGGCGUGCUUAACACAUGCAAGUCGAACGGAAAGGCCCUGCUUGCAGGGUACUCGAGUGGCGAACGGGUGAGUAACACGUGGGUGAUCUGCCCUGCACUUCGGGAUAAGCCUGGGAAACUGGGUCUAAUACCGGAUAGGAGCCAUUUUUAGUGUGAUGGUUGGAAAGUUUUUUCGGUGUAGGAUGAGCUCGCGGCCUAUCAGCUUGUUGGUGGGGUAAUGGCCUACCAAGGCGGCGACGGGUAGCCGGCCUGAGAGGGAGGACGGCCACAUUGGGACUGAGAUACGGCCCAGACUCCUACGGGAGGCAGCAGUGGGGAAUAUUGCACAAUGGGCGCAAGCCUGAUGCAGCGACGCCGCGUGGGGGAUGACGGCCUUCGGGUUGUAAACUCCUUUCGCUAGGGACGAAGCUUUUUGUGACGGUACCUAGAUAAGAAGCACCGGCUAACUACGUG